UCAAAUCCAGAGAUUUACGCAAGUACUCAUUAAAACAUUAAUAAAAAUACAGAGUAUUUAGCAAUACCUGAAUGUCUGAUAUUAAUUGAUCACAGUCCGCAUUGAGAAUUCAAUUGAGCUCGUUUUCCUCACACAGACCGUUUGUUUAUUCCUCAUAUUCCUUACACAGACCAUUUUUCGUCAAUAGUAGUUUCCUGUAUUGAUUGUGUUGUUUAUUGGAAUUAAGAAAUUAUCCAAAGCUUCAGAGAAAUUUGUGUUCAGUCGUACUAAAAACAACUGUUAUGUUUGGCAAAUUUCUUAUUUUAUCAGUGACAUUACUGAGUGUCUUCCAAAAACAAUGUGCAGGAACAAUUCAGUGUUAUGACGGAUUUUGUGAAUCCAAAGACCUGUCUCAAUGUAUAAUAAAACCUGAUUGUCAGUUAUGUGGUACAUCAACGCUCGACAACGCUGCAGCUGGAACUAAAUCGGUAUAUCGUGAGUGCGGGACGAGAGCCCAGAAGGUGACCGCUGGGUGCCUUGAUACCGGUGUUCCUCUAGUAUUUAUUGGACUUCCUGGAACCUUUAGUAGAUUCUGUUGCAACAGCGAUUUAUGCAAUCCAGCAUCCAUCCUUCAUGGCGGCUUCAUAUCCUUGUUAGUCCCGGCGGUAGUGUAUUUUGCGGCGUAUUCGUGAAUCAGCUCGCAAUUCCGACUUCCAAUAAAUUAUUGUAUACGGACAAUAUAAAGCCUAUACGUGAUCUGACCUUUUUAUUAAUAAUUUCCACUGAAACAUGCAUGGUUUAUUAAUUACACAAUAUUUCAUCCAGUG